rnacentral:misc_RNA from 1 species
AAGGAAGAAUUGGGCAGUUCAUUCUACAAGAAUCAAGAAGCCUCUAGAAGGAAUGAAAGUUAGCAGCCAGCUCAGCCCAUUUCUACUGGAGGUAAUUCCGGAAUGCAUGUGAAGGCAGCAGCUACAAAACUAUAUAUAGGCAAAGAGAGUGAGGGUGGGGCAUUAAUUGAAUUUUGUAAUUUUCCAGCUAAGUAUAGCUUGAGGGCAGUGUUUAUACUGCUGAGGUGUGGGGAAAUAUUAGUUUCCUGUACACCUGGACCUGAUUGGGUAUUAUUGAAUAAAACUUUCUCCUUCUCUUGCUGCCAUUUUCUGCUUCUAUUCUCUGUGUUUCCUUAAUUGUUUGAUGCACUGAUUCCUUACUCUAUUACUAGUUAGUUUCAAG